rnacentral:rRNA from 1 species
CCCGGUGGCCAUACCGGAGGGGAAACACCCGAUCCCAUCCCGAACUCGGCCGUUAAGCCCUCCAGGGCCCAUGAUACUGCCUGGUCGCCAGGUGGGAAAGUAGGUCACCGCCGGGG